rnacentral:rRNA from 1 species
AGUGAACGCUGGCGGUAGGCCUAACACAUGCAAGUCGAACGGCAGCACAGAGGAGCUUGCUCCUUGGGUGGCGAGUGGCGGACGGGUGAGGAAUACAUCGGAAUCUACUCUGUCGUGGGGGAUAACGUAGGGAAACUUACGCUAAUACCGCAUACGACCUACGGGUGAAUGCAGGGGACCUUCGGGCCUUGCGCGAUUGAAUGCGCCGAUGUCGGAUUAGCGAGUUCGCGGGGUAAAGGCCCACCCAGGCGACGAUCCGUAGCUGGUCUGAGAGGAGGAGCGACCACAGUGGAACUGAGACACGGUCCAGACUCCUACGGGAGGCAGCAGUGGGGAAUAUUGGACAAUGGGCGCAAGCCUGAUCCAGCCAUACCGCGUGGGGGAAGAAGGCCUUCGGGUUGUAAAGCCCUUUUGUUGGGAAAGAAAUCCAGCUGGCUAAUACCCGGUUGGGAUGACGGUACCCAAAGAAUAAGCACCGGCUAACUUCGUGCCAGCCGCCGCCGUAA